GGACUUCCGGAUUCCGGCUGGGGCCCGGGCUGUGAGUUGGGGGGGGCCCGGGCUGUGAGUUGGGGGGGUCCCUGAGCUCGGAAACCCCUCCGUACGGCGCCAUGCGGACCCGACCCUCCCCCGCCACCUCACCUUAGUUCUCGUCGCCGGUGCUGCGGGUGCUGCUGCCGGUACCGCGGGUGCUGCUGCGGGUGCCACCUCGCCGACCAACCGACUGUCUGCUCUGACCGCGUUUAAAUCUGCGCGGCCGCGCCCUCUCCGCACCUGAUUGGCUGCUGCGGACUUGCGAUGAUUUGGUACAGUGGCAACUGGGUCAGCUGGACAUUAACAAGACUUUCAUUUAGAAGAGGAGAACCACAAGGAUGGAUCCCCAGCAAGUCUCAGCCUGAAGAAGACCAGUUUUACUGAUGAAAGCAAGGAUAGCUGCAUCAUCAUUUGACAGAAAAAUGUCAAAUCUCAAAAAAAAAAAAAAAAAAAAUAGUUGAUCCAAAGCACUAAGAUUACUGAUGUUUUUAUUGAAAUGAAAGUAGAACACACAAAUAAAUUUACACUGGUAGUACUGACC
rnacentral:lncRNA from 1 species